UACGUAGGGGGCAAGCGUUGUCCGGAAUCAUUGGGCGUAAAGAGCGUGUAGGCGGCCCGAUAAGUCCGCUGUGAAAGUCCAGGGCUCAACCCUGGAAUGCCAGUGGAAACUGUCGGGCUGGAGUCCGGAAGAGGCGAGUGGAAUUCCUGGUGUAGCGGUGAAAUGCGCAGAUAUUGGGAAGAACACCGGUGGCGAAGGCGGCUCUCUGGACCGAUACUGACGCUGAGGCGCGAAAGCGUGGGGAGCAAACAGG
rnacentral:rRNA from 1 species